AUUGAACGCUGGCGGCCGGCCUAACACAUGCACGUCGCGCGAGCAGCGGACGGGUGAGUAAUGUAUGGGGACUGCCCGAUCGCGGGGGAUAACUGCUGGAAACGGUGGCUAAUACCGCAGACUAUCUGAUCAACCAUAUGGGAUUAGCUAGUAGGUGGGGUAAAUGCUCACCUAGGCGACGAUCGCUAGCUGGUCUGAGAGGAUGAUAAUGCACACUGUGACUGAGACACGGCCCAGACUCCUACGGAGGCAGCAGUGGGGAAUAUUGCACAAUGUGCGCAAGUCUGAUGCAGCCAUGCCGCGUGUAUGAAGAAGGCCUUAGGGUUGUAAAGUACGUGCAGCGGGGAGGCGUUACCCGCAGAAGAAGCACCGGCUAACUCCGUGCCAGCAGCCGCGGUAAUAC
rnacentral:rRNA from 1 species